ACUCCUACGGGAGGCAGCAGUGGGGAAUAUUGGACAAUGGGCGAAAGCCUGAUCCAGCCAUGCCGCGUGAGUGAUGAAGGCCUUAGGGUUGUAAAGCUCUUUUGUCGGGGACGAUAAUGACGGUACCCGAAGAAUAAGCUCCGGCUAACUUCGUGCCAGCAGCCGCGGUAAUACGAAGGGAGCUAGCGUUGUUCGGAAUCACUGGGCGUAAAGCGCACGUAGGCGGAUUUGUUAGUCAGGGGUG
rnacentral:rRNA from 1 species